UACCUACGGGAGGCAGCAGUAGGGAAUUUUCGUCAAUGGGCGCAAGCCUGAACGAGCAAUGCCGCGUGAACGAGGAAGGUCUUCGGAUCGUAAAGUUCUGUUGAAGGGGAAAAAGAGCGGAGAGAGGAAAUGAACUCCGAUUGAUAUUACCCUUCGAGGAAGUCACGGCUAACUACGUGCCAGCAGCCGCGGUAAUACGUAGGGUGCAAGCGUUGUCCGGAAUUACUGGGUGUAAAGGGAGCGCAGGCGGACUGUCAAGUUGGGAGUGAAAACUACGGGCUCAACCCGUAACUUGCUUUCAAAAC
rnacentral:rRNA from 1 species